UACGGAGGGUGCAAGCGUUAUCCGGAUUCACUGGGUUUAAAGGGUGCGUAGGCGGCCCUGUAAGUCAGUGCUGAAAUAUCCCAGCUUAACUGGGAGGGUGGCAUUGAUACUGCGGGGCUAGAGUACAGAUGAGGUAGGCGGAAUUGACGGUGUAGCGGUGAAAUGCUUAGAUAUCGUCAAGAACACCUAUAGCGAAGGCAGCUUACUAGGCUGUAACUGACGCUGAGGCACGAAAGUGUGGGGAUCAAACAGG
rnacentral:rRNA from 1 species